rnacentral:rRNA from 1 species
UCCUACGGGAGGCAGCAGUGGGGAAUAUUGGACAAUGGGGGCAACCCUGAUCCAGCCAUGCCGCGUGUGUGAAGAAGGCCCUCGGGUUGUAAAGCACUUCCAGCGAGGAAGAACGCCUAGCGGUUAAUACCCGCUAGGAAAGACAUCACUCGCAGAAGAAGCACCGGCUAACUCCGUGCCAGCAGCCGCGGUAAUACGGAGGGUGCAAGCGUUAGUCGGAAUUACUGGGCGUAAAGCGCGCGUAGGUGGCUUGAUAAGCCGGUUGUGGAAGCCCCGGGCUCAACCUGGGAACGGCAUCCGGAACUGUCAAGCUAGAGUGCAGGAGAGGAAGGUAGAAUUCCCGGUGUAGCGGUGAAAUGCGUAGAGAUCGGGAGGAAUACCAGUGGCGAAGGCGGCCUUCUGGACUGACACUGACACUGAGGUGCGAAAGCGUGGGUAGCAAACAGGAUUAGAUACCCUGGUAGUCCACGCCGUAAACGAUGUCGACCAGCCGUUGGGUGCCUAGCGCACUUUGUGGCGAAGUUAACGCGAUAAGUCGACCGCCUGGGGAAUACGGCCGCAAGGUUAAAACUCAAAUGAAUUGACGG